AAAAAAUGUGCAUCUCUUCUUUCUUGGCAAUUAAAAAAAAAUACAAUCAAUUCAACCACUCAGGAACAAUGACUUAACACACGUGUAUGAGCGCCAUAUACAAUUACGCAUACAGUACAUAUAAGUGAUUAGGUACCGUGAAUAAAAUUAUCAAGUAUUUAGAACAAUGUUCAUUAAUUAAUUAAAUAUAAACAGUUUAAUCGCCAACUGUACAACUCUCAACAUAAUACAAACCACCAGAAUUUUUAAGACAGUUUAUACUCCUCACGAAUUCUACAGAAAUUUAUUGUUGAGAAUACCCAAGAGUAAUAUCUCUACCCACAAGCUGAUCUCUGCUGCUAGCAUUCUAUUCUCAUGAACAUCGAAACUUAUGUCUUGCGUCAGAUCGAGGGCAGUAUAUUCUCAUAAAUUUUUCUUACCUAUUUACUCAACACCAUGAACCAGGCUCGAAAUAAAGGCCGAGUUCAGAGUGCCAACAUCAUGACACGUUGAACAAAUCGUAUCCAAUAAAUCUCAGGACGGACUUGGCUCUGAAAACGAUUAGUCAACCAUAUCAUAGAUCUUCAUCCAGCCAAGUUCCAUCGGACACCACAAAUUCACUUUCAACGAUUUUCGCUAUGGCUCAAGAGAGAAACGUGAAACCUACUGGAAUCCUUGUCAGACCCCAGAACGAAUUCAGCUUCUAUAUAAGAAAUGUCGGAAAUCGGUUAGGGCCUACCCAAGAUGGUAGUCAAAGAGAAACAGGCAGCUAGAGCUUUAUGAUGAUUGCGCAACAAUAAAUUGAUAUUGUAUUUA